UUUGGGUUAGGGAUUGCAGCGACAUCCUUUUUUUGCUUUGAUAAGUGGCAAAAAAAGAUAUAGCGUAAAGCCCGACCAACU
rnacentral:sRNA from 1 species